AGCGAACGCUGGCGGUAGGCCUAACACAUGCAAGUCGAACGGCAGCACAGUAAGAGCUUGCUCUUACGGGUGGCGAGUGGCGGACGGGUGAGGAAUACAUCGGAAUCUACUUUUUCGUGGGGGAUAACGUAGGGAAACUUACGCUAAUACCGCAUACGACCUACGGGUGAAAGCAGGGGAUCUUCGGACCUUGCGCGAUUGAAUGAGCCGAUGUCGGAUUAGCUAGUUGGCGGGGUAAAGGCCCACCAAGUCGACGAUCCGUAGCUGGUCUGAGAGGAUGAUCAGCCACACUGGAACUGAAACACGGUCCAGACUCCUACGGGAGGCAGCAGUGGGGAAUAUUGGGCAAUGGGCGCAAGCCUGAUCCAGCCAUACCGCGUGGGUGAAGAAGGCCUUCGGGUUGUAAAGCCCUUUUGUUGGGAAAGAAAAGCAGCAGGUUAAUACCCCGCUGUUCUGACGGUACCCAAAGAAUAAGCACCGGCUAACUUCGUG
rnacentral:rRNA from 1 species